AUGGUUGCGGUUGACUUUGACCUUAAGUUUACCUAUGUGUUAGCUGGUUGGGAAGGGUCGGCCCAUGAUGCACUCAUUUUGGCUGAUGCUUUGGAAAGGAAUGAUGGAUUUGUUGUCCCUGCAGGAAAAUUCUACCUCGUGGAUGCGGGCUAUGCCGUGAGGCCAGGGUUUCUUCCACCAUAUAGGGCUACUCGCUAUCAUCUUACUGAGUUUGGUGAACGUGUCCCUCAAAAUGAGAAGGAAUUAAUCAACCUCCGCCACUCCUCAUUGAGGAUCACGGUUGAGAGGGCGUUUGCAGCUUUCAAGAACCGGUGGAGAAUUGUGGACAACAAGCCUCACCACCCUUAUGCGUCACAAGUCAAAAUCGUCCUAGCUUGCUGCAUUCUUCAUAAUUGGAUACUUCAGUGGGGAGAGGAUGAGUUUGUACCACCUGAGCACACUUGGACUGGAAAUCCAGCAUCGGAUGGUGUGAUUGACAUAGAACAUGAUAAUAGAACCUGGUCACAAAUUAGAGAUGGUUGGGCUGGGCAUAUGUUUGCCAAUAGGGGCAAUUCACGUGUGUAG
rnacentral:rRNA from 1 species